ensembl:lincRNA uncharacterized LOC102022115
AAAAAAAAAAAAAAAUGGAGUAUGUAACCUUACCCACCUAAUAACAGGGAAGGUUUUUUUUUUUAGCGAGAAUUUGUUCUUCUUGUACUUUCAGUCUUUUCAGACAAGGUCUCACUAUGCAGUCCAGGUGGCACUCAAACUCUCAGAGACCCUCCCUCCGGCAUCUGCCCUCCAAGUUUGGUAUACAAGCCACACCUACCAUAGGGAGAAUUUGAAGAAAUAGUAAGGGCUUAAUACAUGUUUUCCGUAAUAUUUUACUUUAUUAUUUACUUAGCUGCAGUUCUUUGGUUCUGUGUUCUCUGAGCUUAGAGUGCCUUGGUUUACCCUCUUGGCAAACUCCUUCUCGUCCUUCAAACUCCUACUCAUCCAGGCCGUUCCCUUCUCCAAGAGGUCUUCCCUCCUGGGGCUUCCCUAGACACCCUUCACUCGACCAAGCCCUGUCCUGAUCUCCAUCAGGUUCUUUUUGUUUUUUGAGACAAAAGUUUGGCUAUAUAGUCCAGGUUCCUCUUCAGCUCAUUGUAUUGCCCAGGCUGAGCUAAAACUGAGGACUCUCCUGCCUCAGUCUCCCAGUUUUAGGAUGACAGAUGGGCAGGCCCCACCCUGCCAACUUGUGUGGAUGGAGAGGGUGGCUCCUGCCCACUUUCUUUGUCCCAGCCAGCGAGUCCCCAGGACACCCUGUUCCCAUCCCUCCAUCUGUCCCAGCCCUGACGCCGUGAUGCAGGGGGCAGCUGGGUCCAGCGCUGUCCUCCCAGGCUGCGGGCUCCUCGGGAGCGGGGCUAAACCCACGAAGCAAUCUCCUCAAAAGCAGGCACCCAGAAACCCACAGUCAGCUCUGCAAAGCGGGGAGCCUGCGCGGCGCGGAGCGAAGCCGGAGUGGGGCCCCUCCUGGGGCAGCUUGCAGGACCCGCGGGCUGCGCGGCCCUCCUCGGCGCAUUCCUGGGGAUCGGGUUACGGCCGGCGCCUCCUUCUCCGCCCGCUUCCGCCCUCCCCAGCUUCGGGCCGCUGCGGAGUCCCCACCAGCGCAGGUGUGCGCCGGUUACCAGGCGACCCGGAGCCUGCCCGCUGGGGUGGCGCUGGCUCCUUCCUGCUCCGGUUUACGAACGGGGGAACUGAGGCCCGGCCGGCCCUGCACAGCCGCGAUGGAAGCGGACUGAACCUGGAAGAUCCUGCUUUUCGACAAGAGCCCCAUUGUUUCUCCCCACUCAUCCUCAAGGCUGUGGUGGCCCAGCCUCCUCUAGGCUCCGGAGAGUGGCUUUGUCCCAUGUUUGUUGAUUGACUGACCGUACAGAGGGAGCCUUGAAGAACAAGAUCUGAAUGUUUAUUUGCUGUGUGCCCAGCCCGGGUCUGCCCCUCUCACUGGCAAAUACUGGUGUCCCAGGAACUUGGGGUGGGGUGGGGGGGUUGUCAGCGAAGGGUGAACUGUUUCACCAGACCAACUUUAGAGAAGACGGUCUGUUGCUCUUUUGAGAUUCGGGCACCAAUAAUUCAUCCAUACAGCCAUGCUCUACUGAACACCUACUGUGUACCGGGCCAGGGUUUUCCUCCUCCACCCCCGCCAAAAAAACCUAAUGCCCAGUUGGCUCUUUUGUCACGAACCUGUGAUCCCAGCAUUCAGGAGGCUGAGGCUGGAGGAUCCCCAAGAGUUCAAGGUCCGCCUGGGCUGCAGAAUGAGACAAAAGAGCCGCUGUUCAGGGUGUGGCACCGGUAGUCCCCGCACUCUGGGAGGCUGAGGCAGGAGGACUGCAUGUUCAGACCGGGUCUGGGCAAUUUCUAGGGAUGUCGCUCAGUGCAAAGGCCCUCGGCUCACUCUCCAGCACCACAAAACUAAUCAAUAAAACCACGCCCUGUGGGUGUCAGUCGUCCCCUCAGACAGCCCCGUCUGUUUGUGCUUCCAGACAGCGCAAAAGGGAACCUUCGAGGCGCUAGAAAUGAAAAGCCGGCUUCUCACGCCAGAAACAGAAAGAAGCCCCAAAACUCAAGCGACAUCAGGGAGGGCUGGCACCGCCUCCUUCGAGCUCCGGCCUGAGCUUGGCCCGCAGAGGCGGCUCAGCACCGUGGGUGUCCCAGCUCCGCCAGCCCUGUGUGGGUCUGGCCUGCCUCAGCCACCUGCUGACCCACUUCCGGGGAGCCGGCCUGGGCCCGGGUACAGGCAGGGCCUCUCUCUCGCGGCGGCUUCAGCUUCGUUCAGGAAAUGGAAGUCCCCACCUCCGCUCGGAGGCCUCUGGGGCUGCCCCAGCCCCGCCUGCGGGCCCGAGAGCCUUCCCAGCUGCGAAGUGGAGGAAGAAGAGAAGGCCGGCCUGGGGCCUACAGUGGCCCACUUAGUGAAUGGAGGCUGAGACAGGAGGGUCGCCGCAGGUUUGAGGCCAGCCUGUUACACCGGAGUUCAAGGCUGGCCUGCAGCAUAGUCAGACCCUACGUCAAAAACCAAAAACGGGAAUUCACAGACUGGACAGUUGUGUCUCGAAAGGCCCACCGCCCGGAUGGCGAGGCGGAGGCCGGAGUCCGGGCCGCACACCUCCGGCUGCGGCCGUGCUCGAGGGCAGGGGCCGGC